rnacentral:lncRNA from 1 species
CUUCCUGGCUCUUCCACUAGCUGUGAGACAUGGGGCAAGGCUCCAGAUUCAGCUGGGCCUUUAUUAACCAGCCCUGGAGUUAAAUCAUCAACCCAGAGGUCUGUCCUAGCCCUGGAGCCCAAGGAGACCCCUGAUUAUGCAGCAAGCAGGGCUGAAGUUUCCAUUUAAUUUUUGCAUCACAUCUUUAGCACUAUUGGACAUCCUAGAAACCUCAUUCACAAGAUUUCAAGUUUGAAGUGAUAGUGUUUGCUACCAGAGCCCCUUUUCUGUCAAAGAAAUUAGAAGCAGGAAGGUUGAUGCAUUCCCCCACAGAAAGAAAAGAGGUCUUUUAGAAUAAUGUGAAACUCACACUCUGCAUGGGGACAGAGCCACUUCCACUUGCUCCAGGCCACAGAGUUCUCUCUCCCGUGACAGUUUCCUUCCUGUGCAAUAGUAUCGCCUCUGGAACUUCCUCACCUGCCACCUGGUGCUGCUACAUGUCCACUUGGGCUCACAUAUUUUCCCACCGAUAGACAAGAGAUUACCAGAAAAGGGGUGAGGAAUCCAGAGAGAAUGUCUGCAUAAGAAGGAGGGUGGAGAUUUCUUACUGAACUAAAGGCUUCAAGAAUUGGCAAAUACCUGCUCAAUGUUUUUCCAGACUUUUGUAUUUCUGAUGACUGGAUGACUCCACCUGGACCCGAGACUCAUGACUCACCCAGUCCUGUGGCCCCACCCAGAAGUGGACUCAGAGCAAGAGGACCAUUUUCCACACCCCAAUGAGUGCAUCCCCAACCAAUCAGCAGCACCUGUUCCCUAGCCCCCUGACCACCAAACUCUCCUUGAGAAACCGUAGCCUCCAAAUUUUCUGGGAGGCUGAUUUGAGUAAUAAUAAAACUUUGGUCUCC